UACGGAGGGUGCGAGCGUUGUCCGGAAUUACUGGGCGUAAAGAGCUCGUAGGUGGUUUGUCGCGUUGUUCGUGAAAACCGGGGGCUUAACUCUCGGCGUGCGGGCGAUACGGGCAGACUGGAGUACUGCAGGGGAGACUGGAAUUCCUGGUGUAGCGGUGGAAUGCGCAGAUAUCAGGAGGAACACCGGUGGCGAAGGCGGGUCUCUGGGCAGUAACUGACGCUGAGGAGCGAAAGCGUGGGGAGCGAACAGG
rnacentral:rRNA from 1 species